UUGAUCCUGGCUCAGAAUCAACGCUGGCGGCGUGCCUAACACAUGCAAGUCGAACGCGAAAGUGGAGCAAUCCAUGAGUAGAGUGGCAAACGGGUGAGUUACACGUGGGUGACCUGCCUUCGAGUGGGGGAUAACGUCCCGAAAGGGACUCUAAUACCGCAUGACAUCCUGCCUUUGAAGAGGCGGAGAUCAAAGCUGGUGAUCGCAAGACCUAGCGCUCAAAGAGGGGCCCGCGCCUGAUUAGCUAGUUGGUGAGGUAAUGGCUCACCAAGGCAACGAUCAGUAUCCGGCCUGAGAGGUCGGACGGACACACUGGGACUGAGACACGGCCCAGACUCCUACGGGAGGCUGCAGUGGGGAAUUGUUCGCAAUGGGCGCAAGCCUGACGACGCAACGCCGUGUGGAGGAUGAAGACCUUCGGGUCGUAAACUCCUUUCGAUUGGGACGAAUGGCCUUCGGGUUAAUAAUCCGAAGGUGUGACGGUACCGAGAGAAGAAGCUCCGGCUAACUCCGUGCCAGCAGCCGCGGUAAUAAGGU
rnacentral:rRNA from 1 species